GGUAGCAUAAUCAUUAGUCUCCUAAUUAGAGGCUUGUAUGAAUGGUCGGACAAGAUGGAAACUGUCUCAGUGCAAAGUAUGAAAAUUAAUAUUUAAGUAAAAAAGCUUAAAUGAAAUGGAGGGACGAUAAGACCCUAUAAAGCUUUAUAAUGUACUCUUAUUAUAUAAAUUAUUAGUUGUUAACUUAUUAAAAGAGCAAUAUUAUUUUACUGGGGCGGUAAAGGUAUAUAAUUGAGUAACUGCUUUUGUUUUCUGAAACAGUGAUAGCUGAAUGACCAAUUGAUCCACUAAUAGUGAGCACAAGGAUAAGUUACUUUAGGGAUAACAGCGUAAUUUUUCUUGAGAGUUCUUAUCGAAAGUAAAGUUUGCGACCUCGAUGUUGAAUUAAGGAAGCCUUAAGGUGCAGCAGUUUUAGUAGGCAGAUCUGUUCGAUCUUUAAAUCUUUACAUGAUUUG
rnacentral:rRNA from 1 species